UCAGGCCUAACACAUGCAAGUCGAACGGCAGCACGGGUGCUUGCACCUGGUGGCGAGUGGCGAACGGGUGAGUAAUAUAUCGGAACGUACCUUAUUGUGGGGGAUAACGCAGCGAAAGCUGUGCUAAUACCGCAUAAUCCCUAAGGGGGAAAGCGGGGGACCGUAAGGCCUCGCGCAAUUAGAGCGGCCGAUACCUGAUUAGCUAGUUGGUGAGGUAAAGGCUCACCAAGGCAACGAUCAGUAGCUGGUCUGAGAGGACGAUCAGCCACACUGGGAGUGAGACACGGCCCAGACUCCUACGGGAGGCAGCAGUGGGGAAUUUUGGACAAUGGGGGCAACCCUGAUCCAAAAGUGCCGCGUGAGUGAAGAAGGCCUUCGGGU
rnacentral:rRNA from 1 species